GACGAACGCUGGCGGCGUGCUUAACACAUGCAAGUCGAGCGGUAAGGCCCUUUCGGGGGUACACGAGCGGCGAACGGGUGAGUAACACGUGGGUGACCUGCCCUCAGCUCUGGGAUAAGCCUGGGAAACCGGGUCUAAUACUGGAUAUGACUCCAUGACGCAUGUUGUGGGGUGGAAAGCCUUGUGCGGCUGAGGAUGGGCCCGCGGCCUAUCAGCUUGUUGGUGGGGUGANGGCCUACCAAGGCGACGACGGGUAGCCGGCCUGAGAGGGCGACCGGCCACACUGGGACUGAGACACGGCCCAGACUCUUACGGGAGGCAGCAGUGGGGAAUCUUGCGCAAUGGGCGAAAGCCUGACGCAGCGACGCCGCGUGAGGGAUGACGGCCUGGUGUAAC
rnacentral:rRNA from 1 species